UGCCAGCCGCGCGGUAACACGUAGGACGCAAGCGUUAUCCGGAAUUACUGGGCGUAAAGAGCGUGUAGGCGGUGCUGUAAGUCAACCGUGAAAGCUCCCGGCUAAACUGGGAGAGGUCGGAUGAGACUGCAGCGCUAGUGGGUCGUAGAGGAAUGUGGAAUUCCGGGUGUAGUGGUGAAAUGCGUAGAGAUCCGGAGGAACACCAGAGGCGAAGGCGGCAUUCUGGACGACAUCAGACGCUGAGACGCGACAGCACGGGGAGCGAACGGG
rnacentral:rRNA from 1 species